rnacentral:rRNA from 1 species
UAACCUGCCCAAGAGAUCGGGAUAACACCUGGAAACAGAUGCUAAUACCGGAUAACAACAGAUGAUGCCUAUCAACUGUUUAAAAGAUGGUUCUGCUAUCACUCUUGGAUGGACCUGCGGUGCAUUAGCCAGUUGGUAGGGUAACGGCCUACCAAGGCGAUGAUGCAUAGCCGAGUUGAGAGACUGAUCGGCCACAUUGGGACUGAGACACGGCCCAAACUCCUACGGGAGGCAGCAGCC